GUACCUCUCUCACUCCCUGAGACCCUAACUUGUGACGGUUUGCCUUCAUGUGCACGGGUUGGGUUCUUGGGAGCUGCGAGGGGCGCUCACACAUC
rnacentral:pre_miRNA from 10 species